GGCCUUUUAAAACUCCUUCCUCCUCUUUACGAAAAGCUUCCUCUUUAUCCGCAGCAGUUGAGUCAUACCACAGAUUAACAACCGCAUCACUGCCACCGGUUGCAAACAUUUCUGUCUUUUUCCCAAUUGCCAAGGCCCAAGCCUUGUCCUCAUGUUGAUCAUAUGUGGCAAUGCACUCAUUCGUUUUUACUGUCCAUAGCUUUACCAAACCAUCAGCACCACAUGAAACCAAUUGGGUGCCACGAGUAAGAAAUGAUGCUCUCAAUACACUUGAUGUGUG
rnacentral:misc_RNA from 1 species